GAUGAAGAACGUAGCGAAAUGCGAUAAGUAAUGUGAAUUGCAGAAUUCAGUGAAUCAUCGAAUCUUUGAACGCACAUUGCCCCCGCCAGUAUUCUGGCGGGCAUGCCUGUUCGAGCGUCAUUUCAACCCUCAGGCCCCCAGUGCCUGGCGUUGGGGAUCGGCGCGGCGCACUCCGGGGCGCUGCCGGCCCCGAAAUUCAGUGGCGGUCUCGCUGUAGCCCUCCUCCGCGUAGUAGCACAACCUCGCGGCCUGGAGCUCGGCGGUGGCCAUGCCGUAAAACACCCCACUUCUGAAAGUUGACCUCGGAUCAGGUAGGAAUACCCGCUGAACUUAAGCAUAUCAAUAAGCGGAGGA
rnacentral:misc_RNA from 1 species